rfam:Tupaia chinensis contig6689, whole genome shotgun sequence.
AAAGCAGAAUUUACAAACUUCAUCUUUUUCCUUGCAGACACCUUUCAAAAGACAUCUUCAUCAAGGAGUAAAGAC